rnacentral:rRNA from 1 species
CAAUAGCGUAUAUUAAAGUUGUUGCGGUUAAAAAGCCCGUAGUUGGAUUUCUGCUACCUGAGACCGGUUGGCUUCACGGCCGAUUUGGUGCACGGGGGCAUUUCUCGGUGUCUGUGUGAGUACUUGAAUGUGCUGCAUGAGCUCCGGGGCUUUUACUUUGAGGAAAUUAGAGUGUUUCAAGCAGGCAUCUGCCUUGAAUACAUUAGCAUGGAAUAAUAAGAUAGGGCUUCGGUUCUAUUUUGUUGGUUUCUAGGGCUGAAGUAAUGAUUAACAGGGAUAGUCGGGGGCAUUCGUACUUAACUGUCAGAGGUGAAAUUCUUGGAUUUGUUAAAGACGAACUAGUGCGAAAGCAUUUGCCAAGGAUGUUUUCAUUGA